CCUACGGGUGGCAGCAGUGAGGAAUAUUGGUCAAUGGGCGCGAGCCUGAACCAGCCAAGUAGCGUGAAGGAUGACUGCCCUACGGGUUGUAAACUUCUUUUAUAAAGGAAUAAAGUGAGGCACGUAUGCCUUUUUGUAUGUACUUUAUGAAUAAGGAUCGGCUAACUCCGUGCCAGCAGCCGCGGUAAUACGGAGGAUCCGAGCGUUAUCCGGAUUUGUUGGGUUUAAAGGGUGCGGAGGCGGAUUUGUAAGUCAGCGGGAAAAUGUCCGGGCUCAACCCGGGACGGCCGUUGAAACUGGGGAUCUUGAGUGGGAGAGAAGAAUGCGGAAUGCGUGGUGUAGCGGUGAAAUGCAUAGAUAUCACGAAGAACGCCGAUGGCGAAGGCAGCAUACCGGCGCCCGACUGACGCUGAGGCACGAAAGCGUGGGGAUCGAACAGGAUUAGAUACCCUAGUAGUC
rnacentral:rRNA from 1 species